GGUCAAGCUGUGCACUCUAGACAGACUGCCGUGGACAACACGGAGGAAGUGGGGAUGACGUCAAGUCAUCAUGGCCCUUAUGUCCAGGGCGACACACGUGCUACAAUGGCCGGCACAGCGGGAAGCGAGGCAGUGAUGCCAAGCGGAUCCCUUAAAGCCGGUCUCAGUUCGGAUUGAAGUCUGCAACUCGACUUCAUGAAGCUGGAAUCGCUAGUAAUCGCAGAUCAGCCAAGCUGCGGUGAAUACGUUCCCGGGCCUU
rnacentral:rRNA from 1 species